rnacentral:rRNA from 1 species
UACGGAGGGGGCUAGCGUUGUUCGGAAUCACUGGGCGUAAAGCGCGUGUAGGCGGCCAUUUAAGUCUGGUGUGAAAGCCCUGGGCUCAACUCAGGAAGGGCACUGGAUACUGGAUGGCUGGAGUACCGGAGAGGAGGGUGGAAUUCCUGGUGUAGCGGUGAAAUGCGUAGAUAUCAGGAGGAACACCGGUGGCGAAGGCGUCCCUCUGGCCGGAUACUGACGCUGAGACGCGAAAGCGUGGGGAGCAAACAGG